rnacentral:rRNA from 1 species
GACGUAGGGCGCGAGCGUUGUCCGGAUUUAUUGGGCGUAAAGAGCUCGUAGGCGGCUUGUCGCGUCGACCGUGAAAACUUGGGGCUCAACCCCAAGCCUGCGGUCGAUACGGGCAGGCUAGAGUUCGGUAGGGGAGACUGGAAUUCCUGGUGUAGCGGUGAAAUGCGCAGAUAUCAGGAGGAACACCGAUGGCGAAGGCAGGUCUCUGGGCCGAUACUGACGCUGAGGAGCGAAAGCGUGGGGAGCGAACAGG